AAAAACUCCCUUGACGGUACUUAAUGAAUAAGCCCUGGCUAAUUAUGUGCCAGCAGCCGCGGUAAUACAUAAGGGGCGAGCGUUAUCCGGAAUUAUUGGGCGUAAAGGGUGCGUAGGCGGUUUAAUAAGUCUAUAGUUUAAUUUCAGCGCUUAACGCUGUUGCGCUAUAGAAACUGUUUUACUAGAGUGAGUUAGAGGCAAGCGGAAUUCCAUGUGUAGCGGUAAAAUGCGUAAAUAUAUGGAGGAACACCAGAGGCGUAGGCGGCUUGCUGGGACUUUACUGACGCUGAGGCACGAAAGCGUGGGGAGCAAACAGGAUUAGAUACCCUGGUAGUCCACGCCGUAAACGAUGAGUACUAAGUGUCGGGUAAAACCGGUACUGAAGUUAACACAUUAAGUACUCCGCCUGAGUAGUACGUACGCAAGUAUGAAACUUAAAGGAAUUGACGGGACUCCGCACAAGCGGUGGAUCAUGUUGUUUAAUUCGAAGAUACACGAAAAACCUUACCAGGUCUUGACAUUUUCUUGCGAAGUUAUAGAAAUAUAAUGGAGGUUAUCAGGAAAACAGGUGGUGCAUGGUUGUCGUCAGCUCGUGUCGUGAGAUGUUAGGUUAAGUCCUAAAACGAGCGCAACCCUUGUCGUUAAUUGCCAGCAUGUAAUGAUGGGGACUUUAACGAGACUGCCAAUGAAAAAUUGGAGGAAGGUGGGGAUUACGUCAAAUCAUCAUGCCCCUUAUGAUCUGGGCUACAAACGUGAUACAAUGGUUGAUACAAAGAGUAGCUGAAACGCGAGUUCUUAGCCAAUCUCACAAAAUCAUCUC
rnacentral:rRNA from 1 species